UGGGGUUGUGGCUCAGUGGUAGAGUGCUUGCCUUGAAUGUGUGGCCCUGGGUUUGAUUCUCAGCACCACAA
rnacentral:tRNA from 1 species